GCCGAGCCAUCAACUCCAGCACUGAACCAACAAGAAAUACAUCGAACCAACUAAGUAUUACAUCUAUACUCAAUCAUGUAGCAACUUACAACUACUCACUUCCAAGGAAGCAGAUUAAUUAGUUAACAUUGACAUGCUAAGGUCAAACCAUCCACUCAUAUGUGAAAGCACUAUCCAUGAAAAAGGAAUCUAAUUCCCACCUAACAAGAAGUGAUAUAUGAUCAAUCAAUUCCCGAAUCAAGUAACAUGUCAGAAGUUACACUAAAAACAUGUCAGGCACACACAGUUGACUUUAGAUAAACAAACCUAAAUCCUCUCCUGAGGCCAAACUUCCUAACUUAACAUAUCAUUUCACCCACUCUAAAGAUAUCUACACAAGCUAAAAGAACCCAAAUUUAAGCAUAGAAACCAAUUCAAAUGAAUAAGAACUCAGUUUCUUCUCUAUAACUUACUCAAACAAUCACACAAGCUUAAAAUCACAAAGUUCGUUACUUUAACAAAAUUAGCCCUUCCCUUGAUUUAACGAUACACCUUCGCAUACCAGAAAAAACCCACAUAAAAUUAUUCAAGCAAUCACACUGAUUUCACUCAAAUCAAUUUGAAUUUCUUAAAAACCAGAUCGGAACCCUA